rnacentral:sRNA from 1 species
UUUAUAAAAAAGAGAUAUUAAAUAAAAAAUUUGUGUUUUCUUAAUUUGUGUGAAAACCCCUUAAACUACAAAUAAUGUGAAAUAGAGGGAGUAGUGUAUUUAAGUUGAGAGAUGACACAUAUCACAAGGAGAGAUGCUACAUGUCAGCUUCAGUAGCUUUUGAAUAGGAGAAACCAUUCUUUAUUAUAUAAGAUUAUAACUAAUUUAAU